rnacentral:rRNA from 1 species
GACGAACGCUGGCGGCGUGCUUAACACAUGCAAGUCGAACGGUAAGGCCCUUCGGGGUACACGAGUGGCGAACGGGUGAGUAACACGUGGGUGAUCUGCCCUGCACUUCGGGAUAAGCCUGGGAAACUGGGUCUAAUACCGGAUAGGACCACUGCCUGCAUGGGGGGUGGUGGAAAGCUUUUGCGGUGUGGGAUGGGCCCGCGGCCUAUCAGCUUGUUGGUGGGGUGGUGGCCUACCAAGGCGACGACGGGUAGCCGGCCUGAGAGGGUGACCGGCCACACUGGGACUGGGAUACGGCCCAGACUCCUACGGGAGGCAGCAGUGGGGAAUAUUGCACAAUGGGCGCAAGCCUGAUGCAGCGACGCCGCGUGAGGGAUGACGGCCUUCGGGUUGUAAACCUCUUUCAGCACCGACGAAGCGCAAGUGACGGUAGGUGCAGAAGAAGGACCGGCCAACUACGUGCCAGCAGCCGCGGUAA